CUGGCCCACAUAUGUCUUCCUCGCAUGCAACUCUCUCCAUCUACUCUGCAGGCAAAAAAAUCCCCAUUCUCCUCCAAAGCAAUUUGCGCAGAUCCGUUUCAUCCCUCAUCUCCUCUUCCCGAUUCGAUGUUCAAUUCACUAGAUCCAUGUCAUAUGGAGGUUGUGGGGCAGAUGAAUUGAGGCGAGGCAUCGCGGGGUGGAGGAAUUGAGGCGAGGCAUCACGGGGCGGAGGUAGUGAACAGGCGACCUCGCGAUGGAGGUAGCUGGCGACCUGCCGCGACGGUGGUAGCAGGCAACCCUGGCUCGUGGCUAGAGGACGGAGGUCGCAUCCAAAUGGUGGUGGUUGCGAUCCGUCGCCAGCAACCUCCAUUGCGAGCUCGCAGCCGAAGGUCGCCGCAGCGGCGGCGAUGAAGUCAGCUGGAAGGCGAUGGGGAGAAGCCGACGGGGAGCGCAGGAAGGUCAUGCAAGUCCACCUCGGUCCCAAUGGCGGUAGAGUGCUCACCGGAGAUGAUGUGGUGAAGCAGAAGAGUUUGUAAGUGCCCUUGGAAUCCUGUUCACUGUUGGAAACUGCUGGACCUUGCUGUUGUUGAUUGGUUCAUAAGCUUGAAGGUUUUAGAUGCACUGUCGUCAUAAAAUAUGGUCCCUGGGGAGUCAUGGAGGUUUGUUUCCUGCAAUAGACGUGGCAAAAAAUAUCUGCCACAUGGAGAUGGCUGCUGCUGCACUGCAUGUGGAUACAGAGGAAAGAAGUUCAGGCAAAAUUCCGUUAGGCUUUGCUCUACUCUUAGUUACCAUGAGAUUUCAUCAAUCGCUCUACAUGGUGUCGUGCUUACUCUCGACAUGCAAUGGAUUCAAGGAUGCGUAGGGAGCUUUUCUCAACCACAUAGCGACAAAUGCACGAGCAUUACGGUCUAUAGUGUCACCGGCAUGCAAGUUGCUAAUCUCCAUUGGAUCGCUGUGUGGGGUUGCACAUAGUGGUUGUGGCAAGUGGCAUUGAUAGGGUGAAUUUUGCUGCGAUUUACGUCUGUUCAUCCAAAGGAAGUAGAUGAUUGAUAGAGAUUCAGAGGGAGCAAUUGAUAUAGAUAGUUGUUGUGGUUCCUAUUUCUUCAGAUUAUGUUUCUAUUGCUAUUGUGGCCUGAGGUCCAUCCCCCGUCGCCCCUCUUCUCAAGCCGCUACAGUGGCCUAUAUGUUUUAGUGGGUUCCGUCACGCCGGGCUGCCCCAGGCCCUGACCUAGGGUUUGGUGGGCGAGCUCACUACCAUCCUCCCGGUGGUCUUCUUCCUCGCUUGAUUCUUGGGCGCCCCAUCUAUUCUGGACGAGCACCUUCCAUUGGUGGGUGAGGAGAUCUGGCAUCAACCACGCGCCGAGAGGAUCUCAACUUCUGCUGCCUCUGCACGCCCUAGGCCUAAUCUCACCAAACUUUGCUACACUUCACAUCAUGAGGGAAGGAGGAUGCGUCCAUCGCAAUAUCAAGCAAAUCAGAUGACAAGGUGUUUGGAGCAAGCUACUCAUAGCCAACUACAUAGUUUAGUAGAAUGCUGUAUUGAAGCAGUGUAAAUAAAUAACUUGUAUGGCCUGCUUUUGGUAUAUAGUACGGAACCUUGAUCUUUAGGUAUUUCAUGCUACAAUUGUUAACAAAUGCACCGAUGGUCUGUAACAAGAUUUGAUGUUUUGAAUUGGACCAUUACUGUUGUAAGUAAAUAUUAUCUUAUGCUUUUUGAGUAAUACUA